CACGCCCUGGCUGCUAGGAGACGCUAUUCCCUUUACCAGGCCCUCAUGCGCGCCAGCCAGCCAGGCCAAGGCCAGGGGAGCUCGAGACUGGCAACCUGGGCGAAGAACCGGAAGGAGGAAAAGGAAACGGAGGGAGAAAGAGGCCGUGGGAGAGCUGAGCAAGGAGAGGCUGCAGAAGGAGCUCGCGGACUCCCGAGAACCAGCAGGGGGAGGUGAUGAGAAACGUCCACACUCUUAAUGUCUUGCCUCCUUCUCCCGCAUUGACUUCAUAAGCAAGUUUUGAGUCCCUGCCUCUGGAGUGCCUGAUGAGACAAAACUGCUCCUCGUCCUGCAUCCCUGCUGCUACUUCCAGAACUCAGGGCUCGUGGUCUGGAGCCUGCACUGUUCCAUGAGCCUCCUGACCAACCUGGAAGCCUCUGUCUUUCCUCCCUCAGUGAGAUGCACCUACUUCUCCCUGGAGAAGCUCGAGGAAGCAGGAAUACUGAAGAUGAGAGACCACAUCUGCUCAGGGGUUUAUUCUUCCGUCUGUUUGCAGGGCUGUUUUGUACUCAGUAUUCACCUAAGCACUCCAAACUGUAAGUAACCCCAGAGGUCGUGGAGUGUCCCACUGCCCCUCCAUCUGGAGGCUGUGACACCUCCCCCAAAGAGGAGGUGCUCGCAUGCGUCCAGUACCCUGCCCAUUAGAUUAGAGAGGGCUCCCUUCUUUGCUCUCUUGCACUCAUUUGUCCGCCUUUUAGCUUUCCUUUUCUGUCCUGGACUCACACAGGGUCGCAUGAACGUGUGGUGUAGCAGGAGGAGACAGACCCAGCACACCCUGCCUGCGCAGCUCUGUGCUGCACCUUCACUCUAGUCACGGGUGUGGCAGUCAGCUCACCAAUUCCUCCUGCUUCCCUGGGACUCGCUGGCUUUUAGCACCGCAAGUCCCUCAGCAAACUGGGACUGUUGAUCACCCUACCCGGCAGCCAGUGAUAAGGUGAGGGCCACUCCUGGGAGGGAGGACACCUGUGGGGAAAAUUCUUGUGUUAUUUAUUUCUCCUUCGGGGUAGGGUGCCUGCAGUGCUUCAUGGGAGGGGCUGGGCUGAUGCUGCAAGCUCAGAAGUUUCAAGGGCAUCUAGGGAGACCAGAUAUUCAGAGACCUUCUCCUCGAUGUGCCUGUUCCAUGUAUCAGGGAUGCAGGUUUUCCCAGCAGGACUUGUGUCAUUGGCAUGACAGACCUGCCUUGGCUGAGCGUUCAAUUGUCUUUGGAGUUCAGCCACCUUAGCAAGUCCUGGGUUUGUUCUUCAGACUUCGCUGCUUGCCCAUUGCUUGGAUCGGGGGCUACUUUGUAAACCACCAGGAAGACUCCAGUGUUUCUGCUUAAUUUUUAGAUGUUUGUUAAUUGCCCUUGGCCUCUCAUUAAUCCCGGUGGGUCCUUCAGGAAACAUACCGUUCCCUGAGUUUUCAUUUCCAGGCAUCUGCCCUGCCUGGAUCUCCUCGCCAUCCAGGAACUUCCUCUUCACAAGCCGGCCAUCCCAGCAAAAGUUCUAACAUCAAAGGUCUAGCAACUAGCCUGCCAUCUUGUGCCUAGAGCCACCUGCGUGCCACCUACCCCCGAAGAUGGGAACCUCGUUGCCAGUUGGGGAGAUGCAGGGCAAUCCUGUACCAAGACCCCAUCUUACCACCUGUUUUCUCAGACCACUCUGGAACCCACUGUCUCAGAUUGGGUCCUCCAGGAAGCAGACUGUGAGAGGGAGUUGGCAGGACCAAAGGUUUACUGGGGCUAACUAACCCUCAGGAAAGGGACAGGAAGGAAGCAGGGCUGGAGAGCAGGUUGAGCCCAACCUGACAGUCUUGAGCAGCCCAGCAGGGAGGUGUGGAGCAAGGGUUGCCCACUAGAGGGGCCUGCAUUGGGCUUGGGUGGUGGGGUCCACAUGGUACCUGGCACACAGCAGGCUGUGCAAUCCAUAUUAACUGCCUGGAUGAAUUAAUGCCCAGGAAAGGUGCCCUGGGGAACGGGUAUGUGCUGAGCACAAUAGGGAAGGGCCCAGCAUCUGCCUUGGCAUAGGCAGAACUGUGCUGUGCCCUGCAACAGGCCACCCGAGAGCUGCUUUCGUCUUGUGUGUGCAUUAGACAACUGCCAGGGGCAUGAAGGGGAUGUGCUUCCAGGGCAUUUGCUGGCAGGGUGUCUCGUGAUCUCUUGGUAUUGGUGUGAGCACAACCUGGCAGAAGAGGGCAGAUCUCAGUGCAAAGUAUCAUGUCAAAAAGCAGAUCGAAGCCAGGCCCCCUCCUGGAAGAGGCUCCUUGAAGGUAGGUGCACACUCAUGUCUUUGUUACUUGUAAGGGAACAUCUUACAGGCAAGAGGAGUUAGGUGAAUGUGAAGAGGAAGGAACUGCUCACUCUGGGCAAGGGGCUGGGGGAGGCUUCGUAGAGGAGCGGGUGUUUGAGCUGGGCCUUGAAGGUCGAAAGGGUUUUGUUAGGUGGGAAAUGGGGGAAGGACAGCCUGAAGGGGUUAGGUACCUUCAAGGAGCCCAGAGAAGGUUGGUGGCUGGAGCAGACCCAUUCGUAGAGUGAAGUCGUGGAAGAAGAGGCUGGGAAACUAGAUUGGGUCCAACUCCUAAAGGCCCACUGAAGGAGUGUGGGUUGCACGCUGGGUGCAGCAGGUGAGUGUCCUCACUUGGGUUUCACUGUCAGCAUUUUUAAAAGGCAAACUGGUUCUCUUCCUGAGGAGAAUUCACUGAUUCACUGAUGUGGCCAGUAAGUCAUCUGACAAACCUUUGUGUACUUCUGAUGGGAUAGGAGUGUUUGUAGACAACAGUCACACAAAUAUGCAGCCCAGUGCAGCUCAGGAGCAGCCUUCCAUGGAUAAGCCAUUGGUACCUACAGUGUGCUCCUGUCCUUGCUAAUCUGAACACAUGGGUAGUAGUAACCUUAAGCGUGUCUCAAUCUUCUGACUUGUGAUGAGGUUUCCAAUUCUUGUUCCUGACUUUAGAAUGAAGUUUGGAGAGAUGUCAUUAAGUCUCUAGGUUCUGAGGAUUACUGUGGGGUGGGCAGAGGGAAAAAAGGGUAUUGGGGCCAGAUGUUCCUGUGCUUCUACCAGAAAGUUGAUUUGCCCAAUGUACCACCCUCACUUGGCAGGCCUGAGCAGUGGCCUGCCACUCACAACCCAGAAAAAGAAGGUACAGUGCGGGCUUGCCCUGGCGGGCGCUUGGAUGCCCUAAGCUGCAGCAUCCACACCAGGUGGGAUUUGGUAGGGUAGGCCCCCCCAUCCACUGUGUCUGAUCAUACUGCCUUUGAAAGAGGAGGGUGGAUGAUGAAGACAAGACGACGAGAUAGGGUGGCCUCAGCAUGUUGCAGCACCCAACUGGAACAUUUGCAAAUGAUACUUGGAGAAAGCUUUAGGAAAGAGGCCCACUUCAUUUAUGAAAUGACACUAGCUAAUGUUUGACCUUAGUCACAUGUUCCUUGAUUCCUCAUUUUGCCCUGUGUUGGCUGACUCAUGCAGCUUCACUUUUAAUUAAAGGUGGGCUGUGAUGAGAGUCAUGAUCAGUGAGUGGCUUCCAUAGCAGAAAGUUCUGUGUAGUUCUUGGGGGAUGUGAGUUUAAGUAUGAGGUGCUAAGACGAAUAUGUCCAUACAUUGUAUUCUAUUUCCUCUAUCCUUUCCCUCCUCUAACCAUUUCUGCCUUCUUCAUCUUUCUAACUUUCCCAAGGCAUUUUACAUCAGAUUUCAGAUAUAGAACAGUGGAUGUUAGAACAAACCCAAAUUCCUAAUGCUUGUUACCAUGAAAACAUGGCAACACCAUUCACAUUUUCUUAACAAAUGGCCUGUACCAUUCAGCCCAGGCAUUGACAUAGGAGCCCAUUGUUUGCAUCCUCUGGGUCCUUGUAGUUCAUAUGCUGGAGCAAUGUAUAGAGGCGCACAGAAGGGCUGAGAAUGUGGCCAUGAGGUAUGUAACAAUGAGGCCCAGAGCCUGAGCUUUGGUGUCUAGCAAACCUAGGUUUGAAUGUUAGCUCUUUGUGUUCCUGUGUGACCUUGUUGGUUACUCGUGUCUUUGUGUCUCCUUCUCUUAUAAACCAGGAGGUACAAAUGCCACUCGUGUCACAGGGCUGUUGCUGGGACAUACUCUUGCACCUUGUGUUCUCUCUUUCUGGGACUCAGGUUCUCAAGAUUUGCUUCUACAUUUACAGAUAAUUCUAACAUCUUUGUCAUCAGUGUUGACAUCUCUUGAUUGUAGCCUGUCAUUCCAUUUGAGAUCUUCUUGGUUCUGGCUGGCAUCCUCUGACAUUACUCCAGCAGAAGAAAGGGAAGGAUCAUGCCGCAUUACUGCCUGGUGAGUGCAGUAGUCUACCUUCCCCACAUGGCCUCCAUUGAUUCCUGAAAUGGGUGGGGGUACUCCUUGUUUCUGCUGGGCAGGAGUGGACUUUUUGGAUCUGAUCUGGGGCUGCACUGAUACCUUUGUGGCUGGGAGGGUUUGAUAUUUUUCAGCACUGUAUUCAGUAUCACCUGCACAGACACCUUAGGGGAUGGGGACUUGCUAUUGCCUGGCAGGGGUGAAAAUGCCAGCUCCCUGAUUGGCCACCUCCAACAGCACCAAGGUAGACAGGAGGGAUGUUACAGCUUAGCAAGCAUGUUACACUGAGCCCCCUAGUUGACCUUUGCUGGCAUGUGUGGAAGUGGGGAUCAAACUAUAUUUCUGUGGUGUUUAACUAGAGUAAAGCAGCUUACUGUCUAAAAGUUUUCUAUCUUGGUAAGUUACACUUUCUUGGUCCUCUGGCUUUGGUUCUUCUUUCCUCCCUCCCUUACUGUCCACCUUUCCUCCCUCUUUUCCUUCAUUCCUUCUUUCUUCUUUCCUCUGUGUUUGUUGACAUUUCUGGAUCUAGCUCCUUUGGCUC